CAAACUCAACAGGUAGUCGAUAAGCACUAAAAGUAAUUUUUCACAGUUUUCUUCUUCCAUUUCAGCAUUUUCAACAGCUACGUACCAUGGUUUUGAGUUCAUAUUUCUAAUGGCAAACUGAUGUGCCAAUGAAUGAAAGAAAAACAAUUGAAGUUGAGAGUGUGACUCAGCUUGCUGCUGCAGAUGGUCUUGAAUGCUACUCGAAUGUAUUUGAGUUGCCUUAUACUUUUCCUGCUUCUUACCUUGACCCUCAAAACUACACUUCAUUAUUUCCAUUAUAUUCCAUUCCACCUGAAGUCAUCCCAUAUGAAACUUUCACGAUCCAUUGGUGAUAUAACAAGAACCACCUAGCCUUUCACCUCUUCUUAACUACUAGUUUAUUGCUUUUAUGGUCGUUGUUUGUGUAAUUGCUUAUAUGUAAUUUCCAUAUUCUUUUGUGAUUUAAAAUUGGAUCCUGUUCAGGCUCUUUCAUAAGUUGCUACUAGAGAAUUUCAUGCUUGUUUCUUCUGUUUUGGAUGACAUGUGUUACCGGGUAGUCCUCAUGCAUGAAUUGAACUUUGGCUUGUGCUUUCUGGUAUCUGAAACUCAACUGUGUAUAUAUUUUUCUCAAUAGUACUGAAUUCUUAGAGUUUCUGUGGGGCUCUGUCGUUGCUGCUGGUAAGCGAAGUAACUGUUUACUAUCCAUAGAACUGACCAUUAUUUUUAGAAGCAACACCGAAGACUAUUUUGGACCUGAUGGAUUUAGAUGGACUCAAUCUUUAUCAUGUUAAGAGUCAUUUACAAGAAUUACUUGAGUUAGGGGAGAGUGUUCGAACACAAAGUCGGGGUCUCACCCAAGAACUUAUUUCAUUGCUACCUAUUUCAAAAUACAAGUGCAGCUUAUUCUCAAGGAAGAAAUCAAGGAAAGAGAGGUGUCUACUGCUGGUGGUAUGAUUAUCUCUAGUGAUGGUGUUUGGGAUGUAGUUGUCUAAUUUUGCCCAGUAGAAUUAAGCUAAUUUUAUGCUUCAUUCUAACUAUCAUUUUUUUUCUUUAUGGAUUUUCACUAGCGUUGAUGAUGCAAAUUAAUCAUUAUUCAUUCCAAUAUAUUUGAAGAAAGGAACAUUUGCUCAG